GCACUAUCAAGAAGACACAUAUCUCCAUUACUUAUCUUGGAUCCAAUUGAAGAUAGAAAAAUUUUAUUACCUUUACAAAAUAAAAGUACAUGGUAAGAAAUGUAAAAUCUCACGAAAUUUUACGAUGAAAUUUAAAUACUUUUUUUCUUGAAAAAUAAAAACAACACAAUGAAAAAGCUUGAUAACUAAAAAAUCACAUAAAGAAAACAACACAAUUGAUUUUUUUAAUAAAUUGAUCAAGAUUCAGUUUUGAUCUCCAAAGAAGUCUUCAACUUUCAAAUGAGUAAUCUCAUCAAGGCCAUCAAAUCAUUAUCUUUCAAAAUCAAGAUUGCCUCAACAUUGUCAUCAUAUUUUUGUGAAGGUAUUACCUCAUCAUUAUUUUUGAAAGUCAAGUGUGACUUCAUUUGGACAUUAGAAGAGGUCCCACCUUCAUUUUCCUUUCUUUUUGAAAAUUUUGAUAAAGCCUAGAGAAAUGCUUAGGCGCCCAAUAUUCAUUCUUCCAAUGGCCUUUCAUGCCACAAUGAUGACACUUGCUUCUUGAAGGAUUGUUUUGAGGACCCAUUUGCUGGAUGUGGUUCUAAGAGCCAAACAAAAAUGAAUACCACACAAAUGAUCCAUCUCUUUGUCCACUUGAGAGGGCUUUUG
rnacentral:lncRNA from 1 species